CCAGAUCAUGAGGGCCCUGUAUGGGCUAAGGGCAAGUUUUGAUCUCUUUCCCCCCAAGUACUGGGGAGUCACUAAAAGUAUGCAAGUGCAGAGUGAGUGCAAGGUGAGUAUGCCCUCAUGGGUGUGUGUGUCUGAGACAGAGAGCGACUGGCUGAGAGAGAGAGAACAGUGAUGAGUGGUGACUGCCUUUGCUGUGUGUUUUUUGACUGCUGGGGAAGGAUGUCCACAGGUGAGAGUGAGUGUGAGACAGCAUGGAACCCUCUUCCAUCUCCUCCCACUUUCUGCUAAGUUACUUGUCAAUCAGGAGCUCACCGUUCCCAUUUCAAAGCAGGGUAAUACAUUGGGGUAAGUAUUUAUGAAGUGCCGAGCUUUUUGAUCGAUACCUAUGUUGUUUUAAAGGAGCCAAUGACUAGAAUUGUUCUAAGUUAUUGAAAGACGAACUUACUGUGUGCCAGUGUGGAAAGAAGAGACAAAGUAUAAUUUUUGCAUCAGGCAAAUGAUUUACAGCUAUAAUCCUCAAGUAAUCAAGCUGUUUCUACAAAGUUGUUUUGUUCUUUGAAAGACUUAAAGUAUAAAAAGUUAAUUUACUUAUAGAAUCUCAUGAAGAGGACUUUUUAAA
rnacentral:lncRNA from 1 species